ensembl:lncRNA
AGUGAAUUAAGCACAUAAACAGUGGCAGUUUUUUUGUGGAGCGCUGAUUGGUGCUAUUUUCAUGGCCUAUAUGUGAAAUAUAGAUUCGAGAUGAAAUGUGGAAAACUCUCAUCUCUGUAGCCGAUACCACACUGGAAACACUGUUAUGCUUAUUCGGAUGUUACUGAUGUUGCUCUCUAGUCCAGUAUUAUUCUCUGUGUCCACAGCUUUAAGAUUGGAUCUCUUGUAAAGUGUGUUGAGUGGCAAGACUCAUGCUCCUCACCUCUGCCCUACUCAGGACAAUUCCCUUUUACUCAGAGCUCAGAAACGCCAAUGGACACCACCUGUGAAGUAGGAUGUUUGCACAUUCUAAAAUCAACUACUUGAGUAACAGUGGUCUCAGCUGUGUGUAGUUCAAAUGACCACACCUGCCUCAGGAGGCUCUCAACACACAAGAGGUGAACUUUAAGUCCGAAGCAUAUUUAAUGCAGAUUUUCCAUAGGAAGGAUCAUUUGCAUUAUGUGAAAUUGUCUUUCACUUUACUUGAACCAAACCAAGACAAAUGAAUACUUGUACAAUGCUUAUUGGAAGUAAUAAAACAACAUUGUUGGGCAUGAUCUCAAAAGAAAUAGCUCAGUAUUUUACAUUAAGUAUGAAGUUUCUUGUAGACUUGUCCGUAUUUAGAGAUAUCCUUUAACAGGUAAAGAGUAACUAAUCACAAGGAUUUUGGA